rnacentral:lncRNA from 1 species
AUCGUAAAAUUGUUAAGAAAAUUUAAUCAAACCUUUGGAAAUAUUUGAUUUUAUGUAUAUAUGUAGAAUGAUUUUUUGGAGAAGACAUCAUGGAGUUCAUUAACAAACUAAUAUUCGAAUUUUUUUUUUUUAAUUAUUCUGAUUGGGAAUAAAUUGUUGUGUCGUAUUUUUGGAUUAGACAUCAAUUACGAGCUUAAGUCAAAUUUUCUGAAAUUGGUCCCCCCACAUCUCUAUAUUUUCA